rnacentral:lncRNA from 1 species
GUGCACACGGCUCCCAUGCGUUGUCUUCCGAGCGUCAGGCCGCCCCUACCCGUGCUUUCUGCUCUGCAGACCCUCUUCCUAGACCUCCGUCCUUUGUCCCAUCGCUGCCUUCCCCUCAAGCUCAGGGCCAAGCUGUCCGCCAACCUCGGCUCCUCCGGGCAGCCCUCGCCCGGGGUGCGCCCCGGGGCAGGACCCCCAGCCCACGCCCAGGGCCCGCCCCUGCCCUCCAGCCCUACGCCUUGACCCGCUUUCCUGCGUCUCUCAGCCUACCUGACCUUGUCUUUACCUCUGUGGGCAGCUCCCUUGUGAUCUGCUUAGUUCCCACCCCCCUUUAAGAAUUCAAUAGAGAAGCCAGACGCAAAACUACAGAUAUCGUAUGAGUCCAGUUUUGUGAAGUGCCUAGAAUAGUCAAAAUUCACAGAGACAGAAGCAGUGGUCGCCAGGAAUGGGGAAGCAAGGCGGAGUUGGGCAGCUCGUGUUCAAUGGUUUUGUCCGCCUUCCCUGCCUCCUCUUCUGGGGGAGUUAGAUCGAGUUGUAACAAGAACAUGCCACUGUCUCGCUGGCUGCAGCGUGUGGUCCCCUUACCAGAGUGAGGAUGCGAAGAGAAGGUGGCUGUCUGCAAACCAGGAAGAGAGCCCUCACCGGGAACCCGUCCAGCUGCCACCUUGAACUUGGACUUCCAAGCCUCCAGAACUGUGAGGGAUAAAUGUAU